GACGAACGCUGGCGGCGUGCUUAACACAUGCAAGUCGAACGGAAACGCCCUGCUUUUGUGGGGUGCUCGAGUGGCGAACGGGUGAGUAACACGUGAGUAACCUGCCCUUGACUUUGGGAUAACUUCAGGAAACUGGGGCUAAUACCGGAUAGGAGCUCCUGCUGCAUGGUGGGGGUUGGAAAGUUUCGGCGGUUGUGGAUGGACUAGCGGCUUAUCAGCUUGUUGGUGGGGUAGUGGCUUACCAAGGCUUUGACGGGUAGCCGGCCUGAGAGGGUGACCGGCCACCUUGGUCCUAAGAUACGGCGCAGACUCCUAUGGUAGGCAGCAGUGGGGAAUAUUGCACAACGGGCGGAAGCCUGAUGCAGCAACGCCGCGUUCGGGAUGACGGCCUGUUGGUUGUAAACCGCUUUCGCCUGUGACGAAGCGUUAGUGACGGUAAUGGGUAAAUAAGCACCGGCUAACUACGUG
rnacentral:rRNA from 1 species